AUUGAACGCUGGCGGCAUGCUUCACACAUGCAAGUCGAACGGUAACAGGCCGCAAGGUGCUGACGAGUGGCGAACGGGUGAGUAAUGCAUCGGAACGUGCCCAGUCGUGGGGGAUAACGCAGCGAAAGCUGUGCUAAUACCGCAUACGAUCUAUGGAUGAAAGCGGGGGACCGUAAGGCCUCGCGCGAUUGGAGCGGCCGAUGUCAGAUUAGGUAGUUGGUGGGGUAAAGGCUCACCAAGCCAACGAUCUGUAGCUGGUCUGAGAGGACGACCAGCCACACUGGGACUGAGACACGGCCCAGACGCCUACGGGAGGCAGCAGUGGGGAAUUUUGGACAAUGGGCGCAAGCCUGAUCCAGCAAUGCCGCGUGCAGGAAGAAGGCCUUCGGGUUGUAAACUGCUUUUGUACGGAACGAAACGGUCUGGGUUAAUACCCUGGGCUAAUGACGGUACCGUAAGAAUAAGCACCGGCUAACUACGUGCCAGCAGCCGCGGUAAGAC
rnacentral:rRNA from 1 species